UACGUAGGGGGCGAGCGUUGUCCGGAUUUAUUGGGCGUAAAGAGCGUGUAGGCGGCCAGGUAGGUCUGCUGUGAAAACUCGAGGCUCAACCUCGAGACGUCGGCGGAAACCAUCUGGCUAGAGUCCGGAAGAGGAGAGUGGAAUUCCUGGUGUAGCGGUGAAAUGCGCAGAUAUCAGGAAGAACACCCGUGGCGAAGGCGGCUCUCUGGGACGGUACUGACGCUGAGACGCGAAAGCAUGGGGAGCGAACAGG
rnacentral:rRNA from 1 species